rnacentral:rRNA from 1 species
CCUACGGGAGACAGCAGUGAGGAAUAUUGGUCAAUGGACGAGAGUCUGAACCAGCCAAGUAGCGUGAAGGAUGACUGCCCUAUGGGUUGUAAACUUCUUUUAUAUGGGAAUAAACUGUUCCACGUGUGGGAGUUUGUAUGUACCAUAUGAAUAAGGAUCGGCUAACUCCGUGCCAGCAGCCGCGGUAAUACGGAGGAUCCGAGCGUUAUCCGGAUUUAUUGGGUUUAAAGGGAGCGUAGGUGGAUUGUUAAGUCAGUUGUGAAAGUUUGCGGCUCAACCGUAAAAUUGCAGUUGAAACUGGCAGUCUUGAGUACAGUAGAGGUGGGCGGAAUUCGUGGUGUAGCGGUGAAAUGCUUAGAUAUCACGAAGAACUCCGAUUGCGAAGGCAGCUCACUGGACUGUAACUGACACUGAUGCUCGAAAGUGUGGGUAUCAAACAGGAUUAGAUACCCGGGUAGUC